AUUGAACGCUGGCGGCAGGCCUAACACAUGCAAGUCGAACGAGUGGCGGACGGGUGAGUAAUGUCUGGGAAACUGCCUGAUGGAGGGGGAUAACUACUGGAAACGGUAGCUAAUACCGCAUACCAUCAGAUGUGCCCAGAUGGGAUUAGCUAGUUGGUGGGGUAACGGCUCACCAAGGCGACGAUCCCUAGCUGGUCUGCGAGGAGGACCAGCCCCACUGGAACUGAGACACGGUUCAGCCUCCUACGGGAGGCAGCGGGGGGGAAUAUUGCACAAUGGGGGCAAGCGUGAUGCAGCGCUGCCGCGUGUAUGAAGAGGGCCUUCGGGUUGUAAAGUACUUUCAGCGGGGAGGCGUUACCCGCAGAAGAAGCACCGGCUAACUCCGUGCCAGCAGCCGCGGUAAUAC
rnacentral:rRNA from 1 species